GAUCAUGGCUCAGGAUGAACGCUGGCGGCGUGCUUAACACAUGCAAGUCGAGCGAAGCGCUUUCGAUGAUCCUUCGGGUGAUUUGAUUGUGACUGAGCGGCGGACGGGUGAGUAACGCGUGAGUAACCUGCCUCAUACAGGGGAAUAACAGUUAGAAAUGACUGCUAAUGCCGCAUAAGCGCACAGGGCCGCAUGGCCCGGUGUGAAAAACUCCGGUGGU
rnacentral:rRNA from 1 species